rnacentral:tRNA from 1 species
AAGAAUAUUGCAUUGAAGCUGCAAAAGUAGAUGAAAAGAUCUUGUAAGUA